rnacentral:piRNA from 2 species
GAGAAGAUUAGCAUGGCCCCUGA